rnacentral:rRNA from 1 species
CCUACGGGUGGCAGCAGUAAGGAAUAUUGGUCAAUGGAGGCAACUCUGAACCAGCCAUGCCGCGUGCAGGAAGACGGCCUAUGGGUUGUAAACUGCUUUUAUCUGGGAAUAUGUACCAGAAGAAUAAGGAUCGGCUAACUCCGUGCCAGCAGCCGCGGUAAUACGGAGGAUCCAAGCGUUAUCCGGAUUUAUUGGGUUUAAAGGGUGCGUAGGCGGCCUGUUAAGUCAGAGGUGAAAGACGGUAGCUCAACUAUCGCAGUGCCUUUGAUACUGACGGGCUUGAAUAAACUAGAGGUAGGCGGAAUGAGACAAGUAGCGGUGAAAUGCAUAGAUAUGUCUCAGAACACCGAUUGCGAAGGCAGCUUACUAUGGUUUAUUGACGCUGAGGCACGAAAGCGUGGGGAUCAAACAGGAUUAGAUACCCUUGUAGUC